ACUACCACAUCUUCACCCAGCAUCACUCUCUCUGACCUGAAACCUGCUACUGAAUACUCUGUCACUGUCUGCACUGUGCUGGGAAAUGGAAAGCAAAGUCAACUGGUGUCUACAACCCAAUACUUCCUUUUCCACACCAGCCGAAUGUUGACUGGGUAAGCAUCACAUCAGCUGCUGUUAGCUGGAGCCAGCCACCAGGACUGGACCAAACCCAACAUCAUUACCAGAUCUCCUACCACUGUCCAGGGACAGAACCACACAUCACUACCACAUCUUCACACAGCAUCACUCUCUCUGACCUGCAACGAGAUACUGAAUACUCAGUCACAGUCUGCACUGAGUUGGAAAAUGGAAAGCAAAGUCAACUGGUAUUAACAACCCUCACCACAGGAAUCCCCCAGGCCUAUGAUCACAGCCAGUAGAACACACACUGCAGCAACUCUGGAGGGUCUCUUCCACCACUGAAAAUGUACUGAAUCACAAAUGAUUAAAGUAAGAUCUUUGGUAA